rfam:TPA: Bos taurus chromosome 15, whole genome shotgun sequence.
UCCCUGGUGGCUCAGACAGUAAAGCAUCUGCUUACAACGCAGGAGACCUGGGUUUGAUCCCUGGGUUGGGAA